UCCCUGGUGGCUCAGAUGGUAAAGCAUCUGCCUACAAUGCAGGAGACCUGGGUUUAGUUCCUGGGCCGGGAA
rnacentral:tRNA from 1 species